rnacentral:rRNA from 1 species
CCUACGGGCGGCAGCAGUGGGGAAUAUUGGACAAUGGGGGCAACCCUGAUCCAGCCAUGCCGCGUGUGUGAAGAAGGCCCUCGGGUUGUAAAGCACUUUCAGUGAGGAAGAACGCCUGGUGGUUAAUACCCAUCAGGAAAGACAUCACUCACAGAAGAAGCACCGGCUAACUCCGUGCCAGCAGCCGCGGUAAUACGGAGGGUGCGAGCGUUAAUCGGAAUUACUGGGCGUAAAGCGCGCGUAGGUGGCUUGAUAAGCCGGUUGUGAAAGCCCGGGGCUCAACCUGGGAACGGCAUCCGGAACUGUCAAGCUAGAGUGCAGGAGAGGAAGGUAGAAUUCCCGGUGUAGCGGUGAAAUGCGUAGAGAUCGGGAGGAAUACCAGUGGCGAAGGCGGCCUUCUGGACUGACACUGACACUGAGGUGCGAAAGCGUGGGUAGCAAACAGGAUUAGAUACCCCGGUAGUC